UACGAAGGGGGCUAGCGUUGCUCGGAAUCACUGGGCGUAAAGCGCACGUAGGCGGCUUUUUAAGUCAGGGGUGAAAUCCUGGAGCUCAACUCCAGAACUGCCUUUGAUACUGAGAAGCUUGAGUCCGGGAGAGGUGAGUGGAAUGCCGAGUGUAGAGGUGAAAUUCGUAGAUAUUCGGCGGAACACCAGUGGCGAAGGCGACUCACUGGCCCGAUACUGACGCUGAGGCGCGAAAGCGUGGGGAGCAAACAGG
rnacentral:rRNA from 1 species